AUGUACCACGCGUACAUUCCGGUUCUGAGCGCGCCGUCCGCAUCCAUCUGACCACUGACCGCUGCGUUUUGUUAGCU
rnacentral:sRNA from 1 species